GAUGAACGCUAGCGGCAGGCUUAAUACAUGCAAGUCAAGGGGGUAGCAAUACUACCGGCGCACGGGUGAGUAACACGUACAUAACAUACCAUAUACUGGGGUAUAGCUUUGGGAAACUGAAGGUAAUCCCCCAUAACAUUGCGAGAGGGCAUCUGAUUGCAAUUAAAGUUUCGACGGUAUAUGAUUGAUGUGCGUUUGAUUAGCUUGUUGGUAGGGUAACGGCCUACCAAGGCGACGAUCAAUAGCUGGCGUGAGAGCGCGACCAGCCACACUGGAACUGAGACACGGUCCAGACUCCUACGGGAGGCAGCAGUAGGGAAUAUUGGACAAUGGGCGAAAGCCUGAUCCAGCCAUGCCGCGUGAUAGAUGAAGGCCCUCUGGGUUGUAAAUAUCUUUUAUCUGGGAAGAAACAAUCUUAUUCUUAAGAUCUUGACGGUACCAGAGGAAUAAGCACCGGCUAACUCCGUGCCAGCAGCCGCGGUAAA
rnacentral:rRNA from 1 species